rnacentral:rRNA from 1 species
UACGUAAGUGGCGAGCGUUAUCCGGAAUCACUGGGCGUAAAGGGUGCGUAGGCGGGUCUUUAAGUCAGGGGUGAAAUCCUGGAGCUCAACUCCAGAACUGCCUUUGAUACUGAAGAUCUUGAGUUCGGGAGAGGUGAGUGGAACUGCGAGUGUAGAGGUGAAAUUCGUAGAUAUUCGCAAGAACACCAGUGGCGAAGGCGGCUCACUGGCCCGAUACUGACGCUGAGGCACGAAAGCGUGGGGAGCAAACAGG